CGAAGGUCGUUUUUGUGUUUGUGUUGCUUUCUGAUUCUCGCUUUUCUUGUGGUGGUAGUGGAAGAUAUGUGAAGUCUCUCUUUUACAAUAUUCUCUAUCUUUUUGUUUUCAAGCCAUCAUAUGAUUGAUAUCUCAACCAACCCAGUUCACUCGUUUCUUUACCAUCAUCUUUAUUCACUUAUUCCCCAUUCCACAGCGUCUCACUGUCACUCAUAAUUCAGAGACAGACACACAGUCAUGGCUUCACCUGAUAAUCCCAAUAACUGGAUAUUUGAUUAUGGUUUGUUAGAAGACAUUCAUGGCGAACUUCCCUCUCUUGACCCCCCUCAGGUUCUUUGGCAUUCUUCUUCUUCUGCCUCCCCUGACCCUCCACUUCCUCUCAGUGUGGACUUUGAUGAUUCCUUUGCCAAUUUGGAUGCUCUUAAAGAAAUUGGUUCCCGUAAAAGGGUGAGGUCUGGAUCAUGCAGUGCUUUUGGUACCAAAGCAUGUAGAGAGAAGAUGCGAAGAGAUAGGCUAAAUGAUAGGUUCUUGGAACUUGGUUCUAUUCUGGAUCCUGGAAGACUGCCAAAAAUGGACAAGGCUGUUUUAUUGUCUGAUGCUGUUCGAAUGGUGAUUCAAUUGCGUGAUGAAGCUCGGAAGCUGAAAGAUACAAAUGACAGUUUGCUGGAGAAGAUCAAUGAAUUAAAGGCUGAGAAGAAUGAGCUUCGUGAUGAGAAACAAAGGCUAAAGACUGAGAAAGAGAAUCUUGAUCGGCAAGUGAAAGCCUUGAGUUCUCAGCCAGGCUUCCUACCACACCCUCCUGCAAUACCAGCUCCAUUUUCUGCCCCAGGGCAAGUUGUUGGUGGCAAAUUGGUGCCUUUUGUUGGCUAUCCUGGAGUUUCUAUGUGGCAGUUCAUGCCACCUGCUGCUGUUGAUACUUCACAAGAUCAUGUUCUCCGCCCACCAGUUGCUUAAUAAUCUGUCGGUUUAUAAUUGUUGGGUCUUCCUACUUCAACAGCAGGAUACCUUUGUUCAUAAUGAAUCUUGAUAUGGCUCUUGGCGGUGUUUUCUCAUUUAUUUUUGAUGUUAGUUUGUCCAAGGCUGGGACUUGGAAUUGUGAGAGUAAAAUAUGAUCAUAUAUGUUGGGGAAUUCUGAACUCUCAUUGAGUUCAGAUAACAAAUUUGCUUUUUACUUUUGCAUGAAUGGGAGCACAUUUGAAAGUGUGAAGGUGGGCUCUCAGAAUUGAAUCAGAUAGUUUUCUCUGGAAAAGGGUAGUUUGAACCCCAUAUAUUUCCCAGAUGUGUAAUCACUCCAAACAUCAAGAGCUCCAAAGCUGGUCAUCAAAACUGCACUUAAAGCCAUAACUAUACUGACUGAAAAUACGAUCAACGAAGCCCUUCCAAAUUUCUG